rnacentral:rRNA from 1 species
UACGGGAGGGGCAAGCGUUAUCCGGCGUGACUAGGCGUAAAGUGUUCGUAGAUUGUAAAAUAAGUUAUAAGUUAAAAAUUAAAGCCUAACUUUAUAAAAGCUUUUAAUACUGUUUUACUUGAGUUUUAUACAGAAGAGUAGAAUUUUACAUGGAAGGUAAAAUCUACAGAUAUGUAAAGGAAUACCGCUAGCGAAAGGCAACUCUUUAGUAAAAA